UUUUAUGGAUAAACAAAGAAAGUGGUUUCUUAAGAUGAAAUCUACUCCUGGUGAGAAUGUUAUGAA
rnacentral:pre_miRNA from 1 species